GGCCGAAAUGUCGUUGUCUUACGAGUCUUUAUUUUUUUUAUUUUUUUUAUGUGUAUAUAUAUAACAGGUACCUUGAGAAUUCGGAAUGUCUGUCGUUUAAUUCAAUUUUAAAAUUCAUUGACAGUUAAUAAUGAUUAAAUGUACACUCACUUUGAGCAUGGAAGUAAUAUUACUUCUAUGCUUUGAGUGAGGAUAACAGCACAAUUCCGCGAGUUCUGAUUUGUUUUUCGUAAAUUCUUUUGUUAUAAAUGAGGCCGUUAGUUUUCUCAAUUAAAUAAUUCCAUAUUUUUUUUAAUGUUGGGGCCUUUUAUAUCAGACUAUACGUACGGUAUGUUUUUUCCUCAAUGUUGAAGACCGUACGGUUGUCUAUAGUUGGAUACGACCACCUAUACCAAGUCAGGAAUAUGACAGUUGUUACAUGUAUCCAUUUGUUUGAUGUGAUUUAUCAUUUGAUAUUGCCAUUUGAUUACGGACUUUUCGUUUUGAAUUUUCCUCGGAGUUCAGUAUUUUUUGUGAUUUUACUUUUUUUGUUUGAACUUUGGUGGACAGUUGUCUUAUUGGCAAUCGUAUCACAUUUUUUUUUUGUUUUCAUAUGUAUGUUCGAUGUGUACUGGUAGAUAACUUAUCUUCAAAUCGGUACUUUAGAUCUUUUGUAUUCUGUAGAUAAGUUUCAUGCCCAAUGUACAGGGAAGCAUUUUCCUACUAAUUUUAAGAGUUUGGUCUUGUGUUGUGCUUUUAUACCACAGAUAAAUUUGAGCACUCACAAACAUUUUUAACCCCGCCGAAUGCCACGGUUUCUAGUUUUGUUUUAUAAAGUCAGGAACAAAUUAUUUGUUAUUAUGAGGUUGUCGUUUCUUGUUAUCCACAAGAGAAAAUAUGACACAGAAAUUUUUGUUAGUCUUAUGUGUGUGUGUGUUUUUUUCAAAUUUUUUUUUAUAUGUUACGGAGUUUUGUGUGACGUUCUUUUCGCUAAAUUAUAUAUAGUUAUAACAUUAUUGUAUUGAAUAUCCCCCCCCCCCUUUUGCGUUAAAGACCCAUUGGUGACUAUGGGUUGUUUUCUGCUCUUUUGUCGGGUUGUUGCCUCUUUUUAU
rnacentral:lncRNA from 1 species